rnacentral:siRNA from 1 species
ACUCGAAACAUUUCCUCCUCCGGC